UAAACGCACUGGGGACGUGUUCCAGAAGCGGCGGCAUCUCCUGUCGGGGACCGGCCACUCCCGGCUCCUGUUACCACCUCUGGGAGGUGACCCCAUCUUUAGGGCACUGUUCCCUGGGGUUUGAUAGGGCCCUGGGAGACCUGGUCGGGGUGAGCCGAGAGGCCUCCUCCAAGCACGGCUGUUAGGGCCCAGAGCCCUGGGGUACUGCAAUGGGUAUUUUCUUCAAGUAAGGGCAUUCUUCUAAUAAUCACAGGAAAACCAUCCAAACCAGAAAGUUAACCUUGAAUAUUCCUCAAGCUUGGUCUGACAUUGCCUUCCUUAUGACUAGAUACACAACUGCAUCUUUGGCAGGAAUACCCCAUAAGUGAUGCUGUAUUCUUCUCAAUGCAUCCUGUCAAAUGGCAAAGUAUUUCCAUUCGUGCCAUUAUUGAUAGUGUUUACUAAUUUAAGAUGGUGUCUUCCAAUCUUGUCUACUAUAAGGGCCAAGGCAAAGGCAGAAUUAGAAGAGCCUAAUCCCACCUUCUACUCACUUCUGUAGGAUUCAAUAUUGGUUUACUGCAUUCUGUUUGCUACUUCCUUGCCACUCCUAGACCACAGGAGACAUAUAACUACACUGGAACUUUGAGGCUAUGCCAAGCCCACCUGCCAACAUUGCCAUCUUUUCCAUAUAGCAGCUGCCAGGAACUCCACAGAGAAGAUGAGCAAUUUGUCCCUCUAUCUCUGAGCCAGGCUCACCACUCCACUUUGUUCCUCCGAGUGAACAUGUCAGGUGCUACCUUGUUAUUUCACCUUGUCACCUGCUCCACUUGGUUUUGAUGAGUGGUGCAACCUUGAGGAAUGAUAUUCAGAGUGUGGGGGUUUGAUGAUCAGGUAA